GUGUGUGUGUUUACACCAUCGGUUCUUCUCCCUCUAGAGAUUAGCAUAACUCCCUUUGCUGUUGGAUUGUUAUUUUGAGCAAUAUGUUUUGGAAAGGUUGGUUUUCAUCAUGAGUGACGCAAAUCAUCAGAUGCAUCUGUUGCUCCUCUUCAGAAAUAUCUGGAAAGAGUUUCUAGCCAAAGCCAAAGAAGACUUUUUGAAAAAA
rnacentral:lncRNA from 1 species